rnacentral:rRNA from 1 species
UGGCUGUCGUCAGAACGUGUCGUGAGAUGUUGGGUUAAGUCCCGUAACGAGCGCAACCCUUGUCCUUAGUUACCAGCACCUCGGGUGGGCACUCUAAGGAGACUGCCGGUGACAAACCGGAGGAAGGUGGGGAUGACGUCAAGUCAUCAUGGCCCUUACGGCCAGGGCUACACACGUGCUACAAUGGUCGGUACAGAGGGUUGCCAAGCCGCGAGGUGGAGCUAAUCUCACAAAACCGAUCGUAGUCCGGAUCGCAGUCUGCAACUCGACUGCGUGAAGUCGGAAUCGCUAGUAAUCGUGAAUCAA